GUUUCAAUUCCUCAUAGGCAGGCUAUCGGCAUUUUUCCUCCGCCCAUGCCGCGCGGAAUUGAAUAUG
rnacentral:sRNA from 1 species